UGAGAACAUCUUGUUGGUUCUUAGUUAUUAAAGUAUUUGAUCACAUUUUAGAAAUUCUGAUAACUUUGGGCAAGCUGACAGGACAUAGUUUGAGAUGGUGAUAGAACAUAUUGUGAAUUACAGCCUUGGAUACAGAAUAGCAUUGGAACUGAUUUAAUCGAUAAAUUGUUCUGACCCAUUCAGGGCAUUUUGGGGACAGACUCUACAGUUUAGUGGCCCCAGGACAUCCUACAAAAGAGGUGAAAUCAGUAUUGGAGAAGUGGUCUCAUGAAGAUGGGAGCACGACUACUACAAUUGACUGCUGACUUCUCACCCAAGGAAGUAACUGUAUCCCAGCCUGAUCUCAGUGGAUAAGCCCACAGGGUUAAGGAGUAAUCAUCAUGCUCCAUUUCGUUUUUGAGCCAUCUUCAGCCUUUGAGUCCUUAAGCUUUUUGGAGACAGUUUGUGGAGAAGGUCCUCACAACAUUGUGCAACAGGUGUGAAAGAUGUAGUCUCCAUUUACGGCUACUGAAAUAGGCUGAGAGAGGGUGAAGAAACUGAGGCUUGGAGGGUCCGAAUAACUUGCCCAAUAUCACAGAAAAGAUGUUCAAGAAAAAGAACAACUUCAGUGGAAGAAGAAGAAGAUAGGAGCCCA
rnacentral:lncRNA from 1 species